UACGAAGGGGGCUAGCGUUGUUCGGAAUUACUGGGCGUAAAUCGCACGUAGGCGGACUAUUAAGUCAGGGGUGAAAUCCCGGGGCUCAACCCCGGAACUGCCUUUGAUACUGGUAGUCUCGAGUCCGGAAGAGGUGAGUGGAAUUCCGAGUGUAGAGGUGAAAUUCGUAGAUAUUCGGAGGAACACCAGUGGCGAAGGCGGCUCACUGGUCCGGUACUGACGCUGAGGUGCGAAAGCGUGGGGAGCAAACAGG
rnacentral:rRNA from 1 species